rnacentral:rRNA from 1 species
GAUGAACGCUGGCGGCGUGCCUAAUACAUGCAAGUCGAGCGAAUGGAUUAAGAGCUUGCUCUUAUGAAGUUAGCGGCGGACGGGUGAGUAACACGUGGGCAACCUGCCCAUAAGACUGGGAUAACUCCGGGAAACCGGGGCUAAUACCGGAUAACAUUUUGAACCGCAUGGUUCGAAAUUGAAAGGCGGCUUCGGCUGUCACUUAUGGAUGGACCCGCGUCGCAUUAGCUAGUUGGUGAGGUAACGGCUCACCAAGGCAACGAUGCGUAGCCGACCUGAGAGGGUGAUCGGCCACACUGGGACUGAGACACGGCCCAGACUCCUACGGGAGGCAGCAGUAGGGAAUCUUCCGCAAUGGACGAAAGUCUGACGGAGCAGCGCCGCGUGAGUGAUGAAGGCUUUCGGGUCGUAAAACUCUGUUGUUAGGGAAGAACAAGUGCUAGUUGAAUAAGCUGGCACCUUGACGGUACCUAACCAGAAAGCCACGGCUAACUACGUGCCAGCCGCCGCGGUAA